UACGAAGGGGGCUAGCGUUGCUCGGAAUCACUGGGCGUAAAGCGCACGUAGGCGGAUUGCUAAGUCAGGGGUGAAAUCCUGGAGCUCAACUCCAGAACUGCCUUUGAUACUGGCGACCUUGAGUCCGGGAGAGGUGAGUGGAACUGCGAGUGUAGAGGUGAAAUUCGUAGAUAUUCGGAAGAACACCAGUGGCGAAGGCGACACACUGGCCCGUUACUGACGCUGAGGCGCGAAAGCGUGGGGAGCAAACAGG
rnacentral:rRNA from 1 species